AAGACCUUGCGCUUUUGGAGCGGCCGAUGCCUGAUUAGCUUGUUGGUAAGGUAAAAGCUUACCAAGGCUUCGAUCAGUAGCUGGUCUGAGAGGACGACCAGCCACACUGGGACUGAGACACGGCCCAGACUCCUACGGGAGGCAGCAGUGGGGAAUUUUGGACAAUGGGGGCAACCCUGAUCCAGCCAUGCCGCGUGAGUGAAGAAGGCCUUCGGGUUGUAAAGCUCUUUCAGCCGGAACGAAACGGUUACGGUUAAUACCCGUGACUACUGACGGUACCGGAAGAAGAAGCACCGGCUAACUACGUGCCAGCAGCCGCGGUAAUACGUAGGGUGCGAGCGUUAAUCGGAAUUACUGGGCGUAAGCGUGCGCAGGUGGUUUUGUAAGUCAGAUGUGAAAGCCCCGGGCUCAACCUGGGAACU
rnacentral:rRNA from 1 species